rnacentral:lncRNA from 1 species
UAUAUGAAAUUUAUAUUAAAUGUGUACUUUAUCUACGUUAAAGAAAAAAAGAUUUAGAAAAAAUAGUUCUUAUGACGAAAUGAAUUGACAAUGCUAUGUGUGCUAGUUCCAAUCAACAAACGUAGUCACCAAAUAAAUAAAUAAACUAGUCAAAUUCGAAUUAAUUAUAAGAAGAAAAUGCGAAGUAAAUUAGUCGUACUCAUCAAUAAUACUGGAACAUACC